rnacentral:ncRNA from 1 species
CCAAAGGCUCUUUUAAGAGCCACCCAAAUUUUUAAAAUGGCUUGA